rnacentral:rRNA from 1 species
GCUGAAUGUGGGGAUAAUUUAUCUCCGUGUUGUAGCUAACGCGUUAAGCACUCCGCCUGGGGACUACGGUCGCAAGACUAAAACUCAAAGGAAUUGACGGGGACCCGCACAAGCGGUGGAGCAUGUGGUUUAAUUCGAUGCAACGCGAAAAACCUUACCACUCCUUGACAUGGAGAUUAGAUCCUUCUUAACAGAAGGGCGCAGUUCGGCUGGAUCUCGCACAGGUGCUGCAUGGCUGUCGUCAGCUCGUGUCGUGAGAUGUUGGGUUAAGUCCCGCAACGAGCGUAACCCUCAUCCUUAGUUGCCAGCGGGUAAGCCGGGCACUUUAAGGAAACUGCCGGUGGUAAACCGGAGGAAGGUGGGGAUGAUGUCAAGUCAGCACGGCCCUUAUGGGGUGGGCUACACACGUGCUACAAUGGUGACUACAAUAGGUUGCAAUGUCGCAAGGCUGAGCUAAUCCGUAAAAGUCAUCUCAGUUCGGAUUGUCCUCUGCAACUCGAGGGCAUGAAGUCGGAAUCGCUAGUAAUCGUGGAUCAGCAUGCCACGGUGAAUACGUUCUCGGGUCUUGUACACACUGCCCGUCACGCCAUGGGAAUUGGCUUAACUCGAAGCUGGUGCGAUAACCGAAAGGAAGCAGCCAU